UACGUAGGGUCCGAGCGUUGUCCGGAAUUACUGGGCGUAAAGAGCUCGUAGGUGGUUUGUCGCGUUGUUCGUGAAAAACUCACAGCUCAACUGUGGGCGUGCGGGCGAUACGGGCAGACUAGAGUACUGCAGGGGAGACUGGAAUUCCUGGUGUAGCGGUGGAAUGCGUAGAGAUCCGGAGGAACACCAGAGGCGAAGGCGGCCUACUGGGCCAGUACUGACGCUGAGCCGCGAAAAGCCAGGGGGAGCGAACGGG
rnacentral:rRNA from 1 species